UCACAUGGUGCCGAAGUGUGGAUCCGACGGAUGAUGUGUACAGGUUAUAGGCUUGAGCCUACCGCGGUCGUGUGGUAAACGCGUAGGUAAGAACAGCAAGGUGAGUGUGUCUCGACACAACAAGAGGUAACACUACGGUUCAUAUAAACCUGAGAUCUUUAUUGAGAGAGAGAUAAAUCAUUACAAUUACGUUGGAGGAUAAAUACCUGUAAUAUGUAUGGAUAUAAAAUCAGGUAUGCUGCGGCAAGAUAUAAACGAUGGUAGAGUUGGCAAUCGACAAUUGGUUGAGAAAUUCACAGUCUUUAGUCCAAAUUCACAGUCUUUAGUCCUGAUCACAAAUACUGAAAUAGCAACACUCCUGUUGGAAAAAUUUCAGUUCUCCUCGAUGGUGCUGUUCUCGCAGCACUUCGAUACACCGUCGGGAUGUCGGAGGUCUUCUCGGGAAGCUUGCGGGGAUGACCGAUU
rnacentral:lncRNA from 1 species